GGAUUAGAUACCCUGGUAGUCCACGCCCUAAACGAUGAGAACUAGUCGUUGGAAAGAUUUGCUUUUCAGUGACGCAGCUAACGUAUUAAGUUCUCCGCCUGGGGAGUACGGCCGCAAGGUUGAAACUCAAAGGAGUUGACGGGGGCCCGCACAAGCGGUGGAGCAUGUGGUUUAAUUCGAUGCAACGCGAAGAACCUUACCUGCUCUUGACAUCCUCGGAAUCCCCCAGAGAUGGGGGAGUGCCUUCGGGAACCGAGUGACAGGUGCUGCAUGGCCGUCGUCAGCUCGUGCUG
rnacentral:rRNA from 1 species